rnacentral:rRNA from 1 species
GGGCGCAAGCCUGAUGCAGCGAUACCGCGUGUGCGAAGAAGGCCUUCGGGUCGUAAAGCACUGUCAGAGGGGAAGAUUAUGACGGUACCCUCAAAGGAAGCCACGGCUAAUUACGUGCCAGCAGCCGCGGUAAUACGUAAGUGGCGAGCGUUAUCCGAAAUUACUGGGCGUAAAGCGUUCGUAGGCGGCAAGGCAAGUUGGGUUUGAAAGAUCAGGGCUCAACCCUGGGACCGGACCCAAAACUGCCAUGCUGGAGCGGAUCAGAGGGCAGUGGAAUUCCCGGCGUAGCGGUAAUAUGCGUAGAUAUCGGGAGGAACACCAGUGGCGAAGGCGGCUGCCUGGGGUCUUGCUGACGCUGAGGAACGAAAGCUAGGGGAGCGAACGGGAUUAGAUACCCCGGUAGUCCUAGCCGUAAACGAUGGGCACUAGGUGUCGGGAGCUUCGACCCUCUCGGCGCCGCCGCUAACGCAUUAAGUGCCCCGCCUGGGGAC